AAUCGAAAUCAUAAUUUACUUUGGCAUGGAAGUGACCUAAUCACUUCGGUAAGCACAACCCACCUUUCUUUGAUGCCGGAAUGGGAGAAAUGCGCUUCUAGCGCUUUCCCGAGAACCGCGACCCGCGCUCGUGACUAUCGACGCCGAAAAUCUUCUUUUGGCGAUAUCUUCGCGUAGGAGCGACGGAUUGCCGAACCGACUUCGCCAGCGCGUUUCUUUUACCCCCAAUUUGGUUUGUACGCGGUCAAUUUCGCGAUAGGACUUCUAUCCUGCAAAAGUGCAUUAUCGGGGUCAAUUUUCACAAAAAUCGAUUUCAAUGCAAUUUUACAAUUCAAUAGAGUAAUUCAACUCUUUAUUAGUCCAAGGACUUCAGAUCAGUUAGUAAAAACUGUCCAAAUACUGAAAUUCCAUUUUUCUCUCUUUCAUUUUCUUUCUUUCAUUUUUUCUUCUUAUUCUUUCUUUCUUUUCUUUUCUUACUUUCUUUCUUUCUUUCUUUCUUUUCUUUCUUUCUUUCCUCACUUUCUUUCUUUCUUUCCUUUUCUUUCCCUGCAGGCUGCAGCUGCUGCUGCUGUUGAAGCUUCUCUGCUGAAGCUGCUGCUGCUGCGGACUGCUCAGCAGCUAGCUGAGCUGCUGCUGCUGAAG
rnacentral:lncRNA from 1 species